rnacentral:lncRNA from 1 species
UUUAUUUUGCCCCUCCCUUUUGAACUUUGAUGUUUACCAAACUGGAUGCCAGUAAUACACUGAAGUUCAAUGUCAUACACAGCAUUUUUAAUGACGGGGUUCCCAGAAGGACCACCACAUCUGGAGCUUUAAGCUUUAGAACAUGGGGUUCUGCAGCAUGUUGCUCUUAUCCAUUAUCUUUCUAACUGCAUGGCUUUCUACUGCUAAAGGGGAAGGUAUCAUUGAGAAGAGUGUUGUCUCGAGCCGCGGGCUUCCUGGCCAGCGGAGUUGCCUGACACCCUGACACCCGCAAGGGCCCACACAGGAUUCUCCACGGGAUCCUAAGACCCCUGGUGAGUGGAACACAGCGCCGGCCCCAAUCCAAUUGAGCGGAACCUGAGACUGCGGUACAUAGGGAAGCACACUGCCCGGGCCUGACCCGGGACAAAGACCACUUCCGCUCCACUCGAGCCGCAGGCUUCCUGGCCGGUGGAGUUGCCUGGCGCCCGCAGGGGCCCACACGGGUUUCUCCACGGGAUCCUGGGACCUCUAGUGAGUGGAACAAAACUUCUGCCAGGAGUCCUGUUCGAACACCAGAUAUCUGGGUACCCUCCCUGCAAGAAGAGAGCUUUCCUGCAGAGAGUACUCUACCCACUGAAACCAAGGAGAGUGCUACCCUCCCAGUUCUGCUUAUAGAGGCUAACAGAGUCACCUGAAGUACAAGCUCUUAACAGGGACAAUUAUAACAGCUAGCUUCAGAGAUUACCAGAUGGCGAAAGGCAAACGUAAGAAUCCUACUAACAGA